rnacentral:rRNA from 1 species
UACAGAGGUCUCAAGCGUUUGUUCGGAUUCAUUGGGCGUAAAGGGUGUGUAGGUGGCGCCGUAAGUCGGGUGUGAAAUUUCGGAGCUUAACUCCGAAACUGCAUUCGAUACUGCGGUGCUUUGAGGACUGGAGAGGAGACUGGAAUUCAUGGUGUAGCAGUGAAAUGCGUAGAGAUCAUGAGGAAGACCAGUGGCGAAGGCGGGUCUCUGGACAGUUCCUGACACUGAGACACGAAGGCCAGGGGAGCAAACGGGG